rnacentral:rRNA from 1 species
UACAGAGGGUGCGAGCGUUAAUCGGAAUUACUGGGCGUAAGGCGCACGUAGUCGGCUUUGCAAGUCGGUUGUGAAAUCCCCGGGCUCAACCUGGGAACUGCAUCCGAGACUGCAUUGCUAGAGUAUGGGAGAGGAAAGCGGAAUUUCUGGUGUAGCAGUGAAAUGCGUAGAUAUCAGAAGGAACAUCAGUGGCGAAGGCGGCUUUCUGGACCAAUACUGACGAUCAGGUGCGAAAGCGUGGGGAGCAAACAGG